rnacentral:rRNA from 1 species
AAAUUGAAGAGUUUGAUCAUGGCUCAGAUUGAACGCUGGCGGCAGGCCUAACACAUGCAAGUCGAGCGGAAACGACAACAUUGAAUCUUCGGAGGAUUUGUUGGGCGUCGAGCGGCGGACGGGUGAGUAAUGCCUAGGAAAUUGCCUUGAUGUGGGGGAUAACCAUUGGAAACGAUGGCUAAUACCGCAUAAUGCCUACGGGCCAAAGAGGGGGAUCUUCGGACCUCUCGCGUCAAGA